rnacentral:piRNA from 1 species
UAAGUGUACUAACAUCAGCUCCUGUAUC